GCCAUGUGAAUACAGGUGACACCAUUUUUUACAGGACUUAAAAUCCUGUAUGCAGCAAUGCGUGUGCGGGUUCAAGUCCCGCCCGGGGCA
rnacentral:tRNA from 1 species